GCCCGUUGUGGCCGAGUGGUUCUAGGCGCUUUGGUCCGCAACCAGGUGACUGUUACAGUCGCAGGUUCGAACCCUGCCAUGGGCA